AGUUAGCACCGCCCGGCUCUCGGGGCGGGGGUGUUGGAGGCGUAGUCGUGUUUUUGGACCACGAACGAUAAGACGCGUCUGUGCGCCAUCCGGUUCAGGCGCGCCCGUAAAGGGUCGCGGGGAUGCUGGAGCCUAUCCCAGCAGCCAUUGGGCGGCAGACGGGGAGACACCCUGGACAUCCCCGUCCAUCUCAGGGCCGACACACACAUUCACACCUAGGGACAAGCUCGUACGGCCGAGUCACCUGACCUACAUGUCUUUGGACUGUGGGAGGAAACCGGAGCCCCCGGAGGAAACCCACGCAGACACGGGGAGAACAUGCAAACUCCACACAGAGGACGACCCGGGACGACCCACCAAGGUUGGACUACCCCGGGGCUCGAACCCAGGACCUUCUUGCUGUGAGGCAACCGCGCUAACCACUGCGCCACCGUGCCGCCCGAAAUCCUCUGUGCACUAAAGACAAGCAGAAGACAACCACAAAUCUAGUCUUCAACUUGUUUUCAGACUCUGCACCCCUCUCUAGCUCCCUUACAUCGUGGAGAAAUCAG